ACCAAUCCUGUUUGGUGCACUUUACUUGUCAAUGAAUCAAGCGGCGUAGUUUUCCCUCUGUACAUCGUCGAAGAAUUCAUCAAUAACUCUUCCUCUUCUCAGCAUCAGCCUCUCUGCGACUUCUGUAGAUUCGUUGGUAACAUAUAAAAAUGAUUUCUUCAUUCUAUUAUGAAUUUCCUGCGAUUGCCUUUUAUUAUUAUCAGGAUUUGGGGGGUAUUGAUUUUUAAUUUCUUUUUAAUAGGAUGGAGUCACCAUUUUGUUUCUAAAAGAAACUAUCAUCUAAUAGUUCCUGAUGAUGAUAAAUGGAACAAGCCUUUAAAGAAAGAUUCACUUAAGCAAGAAAACCAUUUAUUACACGGUGUUAUUCACUGCAAUGGUUUUGGUCAUUUGCUCUGCAUCGAGAUUGAAUCUAAUUCAAAUUAUCUCAACGGAGAAGACCUCAUGAGCCUCUGGGAUCAUCUCUGUGCAUGUCUCAAAACCCGGUACAGUAAAAUUUUUCUUUAAUUAGUUACCUUCACAAUCAGACUUCCCGUUCUCUCUUUCUCUCUUUUUUCUAUUUUGGUUAAUUGGGCUCCUACUGUGGCUUGAACUUGAUAAUUCAUAGCCCUGGCUAAAGUAUAGAGUUCAUUUUUUAAUUUUAACAUUUUGAUUGGUGUUGCAGUGACAUUUCAGUGCAUGAUUUGUCAAAGAAGGGAUCUAUGGACUUGAGAUUGCUUAAUGGAGUUGCAUAUGGGCGUUCUUGGUUUGGUAAAUGGGGCUAUAAGCUAUGUCGUGGAAGUUUUGGAGUUAGAAAGCACGAAUACAAUAGAGCUAUUGAAAUUCUUAGUUCAUUAGAGCUUAGUAAGAUUACUACUGAUUUUAGUAAAAGAAAACAAGGAAAAUUGAUUGGACAAAUUGUUCAAACUUAUAGUGAUAUUAGUGAGACCCAGUUGGUUACUAUUAGUGACUUGCUUUAUUUUAUGCUUGCUUUCGAGUCUAAACCUCUUAUUCAAAGGAAAACAGCCCUUGCAUUGGCUUCAUUUUCAUCCAAAUCAUCAAGAGAUCAAACAACCAAUCAACCCAAAGCUUCUUUGCCCAGCUAUCCAAGUGAUUAUAAGUCACUUGCUUCUUUUGUUGCUAAACUGGAUGCCAGAUGGCCUGAAAGAAGACUUGAGCGGGUAGUGGAAGUGAUUUUUCAAAUUUUGCAAAUACAUGGAGCUAGGAUGCUUCGCCAAGACUUAAGAGACGCAGUUAGACAACAUAUUGGUGACACUGGUUUGAUUGAUUUUGUUCUUAAGCAUAUUGAUAAGGUUAUUGUGGGAAAUCAAGUUAUUGUUCGUGCAAACAAGCCAGUUAGCAAGUUGUUAGAAUUUUCACUUGAAGAUAUUUCUGAUGGAGCUACACUCGAAAAGAAAGCACAAUCACACACUGAUAUUUCAACUUUAAAACUAGGACUAAAUGUUCGAAAAGAUUUACUCUUCUUGUACAAGAAUGUUUUAUUGGGCUACCCUGAUUAUCAUGCUGUUGCUAUAGCUGCUAGAGUGAUCUUAGACUGUAAGCAUUUUUUUAAGGAGUGGCAAUAUAAGAGCAGUAAUGAGGAUGCAUUACUGACGCUAAUUUGCCAGGUAAGGCCAAGUUAUGAUGAAUUGGCAAAUGAGCUAACUUGGCCACUGCCACCAGGUGAACCAGUGAUGGCUCCGGAAUGUGCAACAGUUUUUGAGCUUAAAUUGACAGUGCAAUGUGCAUUAAGGGACACAUAUUGUGUAAUGGACAAUUUUGUAGUCAAUGAUAUAGAAAUUGGGGGAUUAGUGGCAAGAGAGGAGGGCCAAGAUUUGCUCAAGUGUGGGCUGGAGGAUGGUAUGAAGGUUUGGGUGAGGGGGUCUGGUCUGGACUUAGAUACAAAGUUGAGAUAUCAGGGUGGGGAUAAUGAUUGGACUGUGGAUUGUAAGUGUGGGGCAAAGGAUGAUGAUGGGGAAAGAAUGGUGGCCUGUGAUGCUUGCCAUGUUUGGCAGCAUACUAGGUGUAACAGCAUUAAGGAUGAUGCUUCUCCUCCUACUUUGUUUCUAUGUCGUAUGUGUAAUUGCAGGAUGAAGAAGUCGUCUGCAAGAUGCAUAUCCGCCGAGAAAAACAGAUUUGGCAGGAGGCAUGAUAUUGGGCCUCAAUGAUUCCCAUCUUGUGUUUCAUGCAGCAGAUUUUAUUCGCUCCUUCAAAGACGGCUCUUAUAGCAUUUUAAAACUUUGAACAGUUUAAUGUAUCACAAUUUUAUUAACAGGUGUCUGCAGGUUCUAUCUGAGAUCCUGCAAGAUCUCAGGUUAUAGGAUGCUAAUUUAUUUAAAAAGCUUUGGCACGAAUGCCUGUUGUUAUAUUUGUUUAUAGAAGCAGUUUGUAUCUAGUUACCAGGCUUUUGUAAGGUUAGAAACACAAUUCCCUCUGAGGCAUAACGAUUUGCAGAUACUCUUUAUUAGCUAACAAAUACAUUAUAAUUGCAAGCAAUGACAUAUUAUCCAGAAGAUUAAAUGUUCAAUAAUAGUAAUAGAUAGAAUAUGAUGAAUUUGACCUGGCUUUGUCGGUGGCAACAACACUCGUACCAGCUGGGCCUGGAUGAGAUAGGCAAAUCCAAGCUCAUGAAAACGUGCAAGCUUAAGCUAAUCAGCUGGAAUGUGUAUUCUUGCAUUCCCAUAUAUAUUUGACAAUUUGGACUCCUACUCCUAUACGUUGUUAGCCUGCCCAGCCGAAAAGCCUGAACUCAAGUUUAACCUUGUCCGCUCCUAUUUAUAUUCUUGCUGCUUUCGACUCCUUGUCUUCACCUCGAAACGAAUAAUUCCCAUUUCUAUUUGGCAAUGCUUCUGCUAUUUAUUUAGGCUUAUAAUUCCCA
rnacentral:lncRNA from 1 species